rnacentral:rRNA from 1 species
AUUGAACGCUGGCGGCAGGCCUAACACAUGCAAGUCGAACGAGUGGCGGACGGGUGAGUAAUGUCUGGGACACUGCCUGAUGGAGGGGGAUAACUACUGGAAACGGUAGCUAAUACCGCAUACCAUCAGAUGUGCCCAGAUGGGAUUCGCUGGUCGGUGGGGUAACGGCUCACCUAGUCGACGAGCACUAGCUGGUCUGAGAGGAUUACCAGCCACACUGGAACGGAUACACGGUCCAGACUCCUACGGGAGGCAGCAGUGGGGAAGAUUGCACAAUGGGCGCAAGCCUGAUGCAGCCAUGCCGCGUGUGUGAAGAAGGCCUUCGGGUUGUAAAGCACUUUCAGCGGGGAGGCGUUACCCGCAGAAGAAGCACCGGCUAACUCCGUGCCAGCAGCCGCGGUAAUAC